UACGGAGGGGGGCUAGCGUUGUUCGGAAUUACUGGGCGUAAAGCGUGCGUAGGCGGCUUGGUAAGUUGGGUGUGAAAGCCCCGGGCUCAGCCCGGGAAGGGCACUCGAAACUGCCGAGCUGGAGUGCCGGAGGGGAGAGUGGAAUUCCUGGUGUAGCGGUGAAAUGCGUAGAUAUCAGGAGGAAUACCGGUGGCGAAAGCGACUCUCUGGACGGCAACUGACGCUGAGGCACGAAAGCGUGGGGAGCAAACAGG
rnacentral:rRNA from 1 species